CGGAGGAGAAACAGCCUUAAACCGAUGAAGAGCUUCCGGAAGCGAUCCUUGCCCGGGCCGACCUGGGCUCGCUCAGUCCUGGGAGCGCUACACACACGGAACACCACCUGUCCUAGGAAGUCCAGGGAGACUUUCCGGAAGGUUCCGUGGCGUUCCCAUCCCAUGAGGUCUUGAUGAAGGUGUAAACUCACCUAAUUCACUCCUGACCAGCCUCUCCUGGAGCUGAGUGUCUGGAUCUUGGCCGGACCGGCCUGGGAGCGGCGGCCAUCUGGCGGGAGGCCUGCCCGGGCCACUCCCCGCCCUGCGCGCACCGCCUGGCCGCCAGAGCCUAAUGGAGUGUGAAACAAACGCAAGUUUAAAAGCCACCUUAGAAGUAGCUCUGAGGAGCAACCGGACUAAUGAACAUUCCUCAAGAUUCCUGGUUGAGGACAGCAUGGACAGCUUCGACCAAACCGGCGGGUGGGCCCAGGCGACAGCAGCGAUGUCAUGACGGCCACUUGGCGACUGGCUCCUGGAAGGAAGGUGCCAUCGACCGCACAUCCAGACUCGGAGCCGCUGAGCUGUGAGCGCCUGCCUCCGAGCCGGCAGCUGCGGGUUCUGCCUCUGAGGCGUGUUCUGGGACGUCCUGUCCGCCAGGGAAUGUUCCGGGGCCACACUGAGCACCGGCUCGAUGACCCCCGGACCACACAGAGCUCACACUGAGCACAGAGAACGAGGCG